GAUGAACGCUGGCGGCGUGCCUAAUACAUGCAAGUCGAGCGAACAGACGAGGAGCUUGCUCCUCUGACGUUAGCGGCGGACGGGUGAGUAACACGUGGAUAACCUACCUAUAAGACUGGGAUAACUUCGGGAAACCGGAGCUAAUACCGGAUAAUAUAAUGAACCGCAUGGUUCAAUAGUGAAAGACGGUUUUGCUGUCACUUAUAGAUGGAUCCGCGCCGCAUUAGCUAGUUGGUAAGGUAACGGCUUACCAAGGCAACGAUGCGUAGCCGACCUGAGAGGGUGAUCGGCCACACUGGAGCUGAGACACGGUCCAGACUCCUACGGGAGGCAGCAGUAGGGAAUCUUCCGCAAUGGGCGAAAGCUUGACGGAGCAACGCCGCGUGAGUGAUGAAGGUCUUCGGAUCGUAAAACUCUGUUAUUAGGGAAGAACAAAUGUGUAAGUAACUAUGCACGUCUUGACGGUACCUAAUCAGAAAGCCACGGCUAACUACGUG
rnacentral:rRNA from 1 species